rnacentral:rRNA from 1 species
AAUUUUGCGCAAUGGGCGAAAGCCUGACGCAGCAACGCCGCGUGGGUGAAGAAGGCCUUCGGGUCGUAAAGCCCUUUUGUUAGGGAAGAAGUUCUGACGGUACCUAAUGAAUAAGCCUCGGCUAACUACGUGCCAGCAGCCGCGGUAAUACGUAGGAGGCGAGCGUUAUCCGGAUUUAUUGGGCGUAAAGAGCGCGUAGGCGGCCUAUUAAGUCGGUUGUGAAAUCUCUCGGCUUAACUGAGAGGGGUCAACCGAAACUGGUGGGCUUGAGGACAGAAGAGGGAGGUGGAAUUCCCGGUGUAGUGGUGAAAUGCGUAGAUAUCGGGAGGAACACCAGUGGCGAAGGCGGCCUCCUGGGCUGUUCCUGACGCUGAGGCGCGAAAGCGUGGGUAGCAAACAGGAUUAGA